rnacentral:rRNA from 1 species
AGCGAACGCUAGCGGCGGGCCUAACACAUGCAAGUCGAGCGCAUACCUUCGGGUAUGAGCGGCGGACGGGUGAGUAACGCGUAGGUCAUCUACCCUUUGGUGGGGGAUAACCCAGGGAAACUUGGGCUAAUACCGCACGAGGUCCACGGAUCAAAGCCUUCGGGCGCCAGAGGAUGAGCCUGCGUCGCAUUACCUAGUUGGCGGGGUAACGGCCCACCAAGGGGACGAUGCGUAGCUGGUCUGAGAGGAUGAUCAGCCACACUGGGACUGAGACACGGCCCAGACUCCUACGGGAGGCAGCAGUGGGGAAUAUUGCGCAAUGGGGGGAAACCCUGACGCAGCCACGCCGCGUGGGUGAUGAAGGCCUUCGGGUUGUAAAGCCCUGUCGGGAGGGACGAAUUCUUGACGGUACCUCCAAAGAAAGCACCGGCUAACUCCGUGCCAGCAGCCGCGGUAAU